UACGAAGGGGGCUAGCGUUGCUCGGAAUCACUGGGCGUAAAGGGUGCGUAGGCGGGUCUUUAAGUCAGGGGUGAAAUACGGCAGCUCAACUGUCGAGGUGCUGUUGAUACUGGGGAACUUGAGUACUGAUGAGGUAGGCGGAAUGGACGGUGUAGCGGUGAAAUGCUUAGAGAUCGUCCAGAACACCGAUAGCGAAGGCAGCUUACUAAGGAGUAA
rnacentral:rRNA from 1 species